CCUCAGAAAGCUCAGUUGGUACAGCAUGAGACUCUGAAUCUCAAGGUCAUGGGUUUGAGCCCCAUGUUGGGCA